CAUCCUGAGCCAUGAUCAAACUCUAAAAGCCGUUUUUCUUACGGGACACGAAACAAGGUGCUGCAUGGCUGUCGUCAGCUCGUGUCGUGAGAUGUUGGGUUAAGUCCCGCAACGAGCGCAACCCUCGCCCUUAGUUGCCAUCAUUUAGUUGAGCACUCUAAGGGGACUGCCGGUGAUAAGCCGAGAGGAAGGUGGGGAUGACGUCAAGUCCUCAUGGCCCUUACGGGCUGGGCUACACACGUGCUACAAUGGCGGUGACAAUGGGACGCAAAGGAGCAAUCCCUAGCAAAUCUCAAAAAGCCGUCUCAGUUCGGAUUGUUCUCUGCAACUCGAGAGCAUGAAGUUGGAAUCGCUAGUAAUCGUGGAUCAGCAUGCCACGGUGAAUACGUUCCCGGGCCUUGUACACACCGCCCGUCACACCAUGGGAGUUGGUUCUACCUGAAGGCGGUGCGCUAACCAGCAAUGGAGGCAGCCGACCACGGUAGGGUCAGCGACUGGGGUGAAGUCGUAACAAGGUAACCGUAA
rnacentral:rRNA from 1 species